rnacentral:misc_RNA from 1 species
GAUGAAGAACGUAGCGAAAUGCGAUAAGUAAUGUGAAUUGCAGAAUUCAGUGAAUCAUCGAGUCUUUGAACGCACAUUGCGCCCCCUGGUAUUCCGGGGGGCAUGCCUGACCGAGCGUCAUUGCUGCCCUCAAGCACGGCUUGUGUGUUGGGCCGUCGUCCCCCUCCUAGGGGACGGGCCCGAAAGGCAGCGGCGGCACCGCGUCCGGUCCUCGAGCGUAUGGGGCUUCGUCACCCGCUCCGUAGGCCCGGCCGGCGCUUGCCGACGACCAUCAAUCUCUUUCUCCAGGUUGACCUCGGAUCAGGUAGGGAUACCCGCUGAACUUAAGCAUAUCAAUAAGCGGAGGA